GGUUAGCUCAGUCGGCAGGGCGCUGGACUGCAGAGCAGGAGAUCCGGAUUCGAAUUCCGAACGGACCA